CAAUCUGCGGACACACAUGAAAAUACACUACCGCGAUCCUGCGGAUGCGAUACCGAUGCAGGACCCUGCGCGGGCGAGCUUUCUCCAAGUCUUCGAAUCUGACGGUGCACAUGCGAAGGCACACCGGAGAGCGGCCGCACAAGUGCGAUUUUUGCGAUAAAAGUUUUCCUCGUUCCUUGGAUUUGCAGUAUCAUCACAGGACACAUACUGGUGAAAAGCUGUGUAUUUGUAAGGUUUGUGGAGCAGGGUUCACGAGGUCACACAAGCUCAUUGUACACAUGAGGACUCAUACCGGAGACAUACCAUUCAAGUGCACUUACUGCGAUCGGGAAAAGAAAUUCUCAGCAAGUCGAACCCAAAUCCGCCGGUAUCGCUAAUGAAAAACACGUCUCAUUAAUUGGGCGCAACAGCAAAUACUACCACAACGUUACUCCAGUAUUCAGUAUUGUCGAAGAUCAGGAUGAAGAAGACCUGCCACCAUCAUCAAUGAAGGACUCAUCAGUAUGCAGGCUGGAACACCACAAA